rnacentral:rRNA from 1 species
CAGCAGCCGCGGUAAUACGUAGGUGGCAAGCGUUGUCCGGAAUUAUUGGGCGUAAAGGGCUCGCAGGCGGUUUCUUAAGUCUGAUGUGGAAGCCCCCGGCUCAACCGGGGAGGGUCAUUGGAAACUGGGAAACUUGAGUGCAGAAGAGGAGAGUGGAAUUCCACGUGUAGCGGUGAAAUGCGUAGAGAUGUGGAGGAACACCAGUGGCGAAGGCGACUCUCUGGUCUGUAACUGACGCUGAGGAGCGAAAGCGUGGGGAGCGAACAGGAUUAGAUACCCCGGUAGUCCCUGUCUCUUAUAC